AUUGAACGCUGGCGGCAGGCCUAACACAUGCAAGUCGAGCGGAUGAAGGGAGCUUGCUCCUGGAUUCAGCGGCGGACGGGUGAGUAAUGCCUAGGAAUCUGCCUGGUAGUGGGGGAUAACGUCCGGAAACGGGCGCUAAUACCGCAUACGUCCUGAGGGAGAAAGUGGGGGAUCUUCGGACCUCACGCUAUCAGAUGAGCCUAGGUCGGAUUAGCUAGUUGGUGGGGUAAAGGCCUACCAAGGCGACGAUCCGUAACUGGUCUGAGAGGAUGAUCAGUCGCACUGAAACUGAGACACGGUCCAGACUCCUACGGGAGGCAGCAGUGGGGAAUAUUGGACAAUGGGCGAAAGCCUGAUCCAGCCAUGCCGCGUGUGUGAAGAAGGUCUUCGGAUUGUAAAGCACUUUAAGUUGGGAGGAAGGGCAGUAAGUUAAUACCUUGCUGUUUUGACGUUACCAACAGAAUAAGCACUGGCUAACUUCGUG
rnacentral:rRNA from 1 species